rnacentral:rRNA from 1 species
CGGGGCUAAGUCGUAUCAAGGUAGCAGUAGGUGAACCUGCAGAAGGAUCA